UACAGUCAUUGUCUCGAUCUAGUUGAUUAAAGGGUUAUGAUAUGCUAUUAGAUGGAUAGAUCAUAUUUUUACCAUGGUUACUUAUCUUUCCGUAUGUACCAUUGUAUUUUGAUCUGUCUGGUAACGAGUUGAUGUGUAGGUGCGAUGGUCUAUUUCAAAUGCACUGUAUAUCUGCACAUAGACUUGGCAUUGGCGAGCUAGUGAGGGGUGUUACAAUAAAUUCCAAUCAACAUGUAGAUGUGAAUCUAAAGAUAUCACCAGCGGAGAUGCAGAUUAUGCAUUUUUCUUUCAUUUUUUAGUAGACUUUACUUUACAUGUACGUACAGAAUGCCUAGAGACAGGGUCUUACUAUUGUUAAAAUCAUGUCUCUAUUCAAUUUAUCAAGGAAAGAAACAUGUAGACAUGUGCUUUGCAUGGUCAAGAUAUUAUUUGUUCACUUCAUGAGUAGUAGUGCAACCACAACGUAGAAUUCACUAAUCACUAUAUCCUUUGUACUGCUUUUUUUGUCACAUCAUUCUGUAAUUGGAAUAUUAUUUUUUCAGGCCCAAAAGAUGAGCAAGGGCUCCUGUAACUAACCAAUUCUGGACUGUACAUGCCAAUGCUGCACUUGUGAAAACUGAAGAGUUGGUACGAUUCAAAAGAUAAAUGGAUGAUGAUAUGGGUGAAAAGUUGAAUGGAAGGAGGACAAUGCUUUUGAUGCUGGAUAAUCUACUUCACAUCUAUGCAUCUUUAGUUAUCUCGUAGGAAGGAAGUGAUAUUGUAAACAUAAUAUUUAUAUAUGUACACACGGAUGGUUAUCCUAUUGUAAUGCCAUGAUUUUAAUCCAAUAUAUAGUAUGUUUCUCUUCUC